UCUUAUCCAGAGGGGAGAAGGGAACUGGCCCAUUGAAUCCCCAGCAACAGGCUUUAUGUACUGUGCUAAAUCCAGCAAGUAAUUGGCAGAUAAG
rnacentral:ncRNA from 1 species